rnacentral:lncRNA from 10 species
CCUGCCCUGCCCCCAUUCCCCUGGUUUCCAGCCCGGAGGGUUUUCAGGGCUAAUGGAGGGGAAGGGCACAGACUUCACUCCUCUGUGGAGAGAGACACAGGGAUUCCUGACCAAGCUGCCAUGGAUCCUUCCCUCCUCCAGUCUCUACAGCUGUUUCCCUCUUUUCCCAUCUCAUUCUUCCCUCUUCAUUUCUGGCCUAUCUUUUAACAUCUCCAUCCCUUUGAUGCCUCAUCCAUCUCCUCUUCACCGUCUUGUCUUUGCCUGUUCCCUUUUCUGCUUCUCUGCUCCUCUUAAGGCUGGGUUUUCCUCCUGCGUCUCCUCUGUGCGCCUGUGAGUGUCCCCUGUCUGCUCAUCCUCUCUCCCUCUGUCCACCUGUUUCUCUUUCUUCCAGCGUUUCUCCAUCUCACGCGCUGCCUCUGUCAUUUUCUCUCUUUCUUCGUCUUUCUCUCUCUCUCAUUGUUCUGAGACAUAGCAGUGCCUGGCCCAGCGGGGACAACAUGUUUCACAGACAAAUCAUCCAACAAAAGAGAGGAGGAACGUGCUUCAGUAACUCUGGACUUGGCCAUGUGACUUUCUUGGGCCAAUGGGACAUGAGCAAGCAUGAUACCAGCAGGGAUUUGAUUCUUCCUCCACCUCAGCUGAAAGGAUUCAUCUUGCAGCACGGCCCACCUUGGAACCCUUUGUGUUUGCUGAAACUUUCUUUGUGAUUAUUCUUAUGUCACUGCAUAGCAUGUAAAUGUAUCACACCCCCCCCCCACCCAUUAUUAUUAUCUCCUAGUAUGCACCAGGCACUGGCCAUAAAUUAUUUCUAAUCAUCAUUAAAACUCUACCACGGUUAUCCUCCCUCUAUGGAUAGGAAAACUAAGGCUUGGAGGUUGAAGAGGUCAUGGAUCUUGUCCAAGGUCACUAAACUCAUAAAUGUCACAGUCAAAAUUUGAAUCUAGAUAGAGUUGUCAGCUCCAAAGAAGUUUGCUCAGUCAGUUCUUCCCCAAAUUAGCUUUUUAUCCAAAUUUGCUGAGAAGCUUUUUAAAAAUACAUCUUCUUUACAACAAAGCCAGAGAAAGAAUAAGGCAGCUCUCUGCACAACAAUAUGGUGCUCGUAUAUGCCUAGAACAUCUCCAGGAAGAAGGGCCGGUACAGGACCAGGUCAGCCUGUCCUCAUUACAUCAGCAGGGUGAGCCAAGGGAGGUUGCCUAAAAAUUCAAGAUUUGAUUUGCCGCUCAGGCAUUUCCUUGAGUGGCCCCUCGGUGUUUGCCCUCAUCCAGAUGGCAUCCAGAUGCAAACAUCCCCCCUCCCCCAGCUCCGGCUCCUCAGCUAGGGGAAUUGAAUCUUGACCCCCACCUCACACCCACCUCCCUGCAUCAUCAGCUUUGUUUCUGGGAUCUGAGGUCAGGGCAUGGACUAACACCUCUGCCUGUGGCUCUCUCCAAAGCCCGACUUCUGGCCAUCCUAUGAUCUGCCUCCCUCCUCCGCCUUUGUUCAAUUCAGCAGGAUCCCACACGGAGAUCUGCCCCAGUGCACCCUUGGGAUGUAGUGACAGAAACUCCUGCUUACUUAAAAAAGGGUCCUCUGCAAACUGUGCCGAAGAACAAGGGCCAAAAUAAAACAAAGAGGGGAUUUCGUUGUUCUUCUCCUUACC